UUCUGGUAUGAAAGUUAAAGCAAAGUUUGA
rnacentral:piRNA from 1 species